rnacentral:rRNA from 1 species
UACGUAGGGGGCUAGCGUUGUCCGGAAUCAUUGGGCGUAAAGCGCGUGUAGGCGGCCCGGUAAGUCCGCUGUGAAAGUCGGGGGCUCAACCCUCGGAAGCCGGUGGAUACUGUCGGGCUCGAGUACGGAAGAGGCGAGUGGAAUUCCUGGUGUAGCGGUGAAAUGCGCAGAUAUCAGGAGGAACACCUAUUGCGAAGGCAGCUCCCUGGGACGUAACUGACGCUGAGACGCGAAAGCGUGGGGAGCAAACAGG